AGAUUGUUGGAGGUUAUGGGUUUAGAGAAUAGAUGGUGUUUUUGGGUGCUUGAAGUAUUACAACAAGAGAUAUCAAGUUUGGAAUGUUCAACAGUGUUAUCUCUCCAGCUUAGGGAAACCCUAGGGUUAAUAAGCUAUUGGGCUCCUACGCUUUCAACUAUUGGACUUGUAUGUGAACAUAUUAUUUGGAUUAUAUAACAAUAUAUCCAACAUCUAAUACUAUCCAUAUCUAUUAUUCUAUAUGAAUCCUCAAUAACUUUACCACGUGGCAGUCUAUCUUUCACCCACAUUUGUUUUUCUUCUGAACCAAACCGUCUAUCUGAACCGAUCUAAUCCUUUUUCGAACCACCGCUAAACCGAACCGCCGCUCUCUGUUCUACAUGGUUUUCGUACGAUUCUCUGAACCGAACCAUGCGUCUGAACCGGCCCGCUCUCUUCUCUCCGUAUUUUUCAUAUGGAGCGUUUUCUCUCCUUUCUUAGCGGCGCGGUCUCUCUCCCCUCUCCGCUGCACGCUCCGUCUUCCUUCUUCGUUUCGUACGAUACGUCGUUCUCUCUCCCCACUCUGCUGCAUCAUCCCUCUGCCCUUUCCGUUUCAUACGGCGCCUCCUUCGCUUCUCGCCCGAGCGCAAUAAAUGUUAUCGUCUUAUCUC
rnacentral:lncRNA from 1 species